UACGAAGGGGGGCUAGCGUUGCUCGGAAUUACUGGGCGUAAAGCGCACGUAGGCGGAUCGUUAAGUCGGGGGUGAAAUCCUGGAGCUCAACUCCAGAACUGCCUUCGAUACUGGCGAUCUUGAGUCCGGAAGAGGUGAGUGGAACUGCGAGUGUAGAGGUGAAAUUCGUAGAUAUUCGCAAGAACACCAGUGGCGAAGGCGGCUUGCCAGAACGCGCUCGACGGUGAGGGAUGAAAGCUGGGGGAGCAACCGGAUUGAGAUGACCUUGAGUCCCUAGACCAA
rnacentral:rRNA from 1 species